GCGGAUUUAGCUCAGUUGUUUAGAGCGCUUCCUUGCCAAGGAAGAGGCCGCGGGUUAGAGUCCCGCAAUCCGCACCA
rnacentral:tRNA from 1 species